CCUACGGGAGGCAGCAGUGGGGAAUAUUGGACAAUGGACGAAAGCCUGAUCCAGCCAUGCCGCGUGUGUGAAGAAGGCCUUCGGGUUGUAAAGCACUUUCAGUGGGGAAGAAAGCCUUGGGGCUAAUACCCUCGAGGAAGGACAUCACCCACAGAAGAAGCACCGGCUAACUCCGUGCCAGCAGCCGCGGUAAUACGGAGGGUGCGAGCGUUAAUCGGAAUUACUGGGCGUAAAGCGCGCGUAGGCGGUCUGAUAAGCCGGUUGUGAAAGCCCCGGGCUCAACCUGGGAACGGCAUCCGGAACUGUCAGGCUAGAGUGCAGGAGAGGAAGGUAGAAUUCCCGGUGUAGAGGUGAAAUGCGUAGAGAUCGGGAGGAAUACCAGUGGCGAAGGCGGCCUUCUGGACUGACACUGACGCUGAGGUGCGAAAGCGUGGGUAGCAAACAGGAUUAGAGACCCGAGUAGUC
rnacentral:rRNA from 1 species